AAUCGCUUCUCUCUGGUCUGAGAA
rnacentral:siRNA from 1 species